rnacentral:rRNA from 1 species
CCUUACGGAGCCCACCAGUAGGGAAUCUUCCGCAAUGGACGAAAUUCUGACCGGAGCAACGCCGCGUGAGCGAAGAAGUUCUUCGGAUUGUAAGCUCUGUUGUUAGGGAAGAACAAGUACCGUUCGAAGAGGGCGGUGCCGUGACGGUACCUAACGAGAAAGCCACGGCUAACUACGUGCCAGCAGCCGCGGUAAUACGUAGGUGGCAAGCGUUGUCCGGAAUUAUUGGGCGUAAAGCGCGCGCAGGCGGUUCCUUAAGUCUGAUGUGAAAGCCCACGGCUCAACCGUGGAGGGUCAUUGGAAACUGGGGGACUUGAGUGCAGAAGAGGAGAGCGGAAUUCCACGUGUAGCGGUGAAAUGCGUAGAGAUGUGGAGGAACACCAGUGGCGAAGGCGGUCACUUGGCCCAAUACUGACGCUGAGGCGCGAAAGCGUGGGGAGCAAACAGGAUUAGAUACCCUGGUAGUCCACGCCCUAAACGAUGGAUACUGGAUGUUUGGCGCCUUAGGUGCUGAGUGUCGUAGCUAACGCGAUAAGUAUCCCGCCUGGGAAGUACGGCCGCAAGGUUAAAACUCAAAGGAAUUGACGG